GAGUGAUUUCAGCUCUUCCAGUAUUUAUCUAGCAGGUUUUCACUUCCCCAGGCAGCCUUAUUGAGAGCCAAU